rnacentral:rRNA from 1 species
UACGUAGGGUGCGAGCGUUAAUCGGAAUUACUGGGCGUAAAGCGUGCGCAGGCGGUUCGUUAUGUCCGUUGUGAAAGCCCCGGGCUCAACCUGGGAAUGGCAAUGGAAACUGGCGGGCUAGAGUGUGGCAGAGGGGGGUGGGAAGUUCCGCGUGUAGCAGUGAAAUGCGUAGAGAUGCGGAGGAACACCGAUGGCGAAGGCGGCUCACUGGUCCGGAACUGACGCUGAGGUGCGAAAGCGGUGGG